rnacentral:misc_RNA from 1 species
GAUGAAGAACGUAGCGAAAUGCGAUAAGUAAUGUGAAUUGCAGAAUUCAGUGAAUCAUCGAAUCUUUGAACGCACAUUGCGCCCCUUGGUAUUCCGAGGGGCAUGCCUGUUCGAGCGUCAUAUUAACCACUCCCGCUUGCGGGGUCUUGGGCUUCGCCUCCGGGCGGGCCUUAAAAUCAGUGGCGGUGCCGUCGGGCUCUACGCGUAGUAAAUUUUCUUGCGAUAGGGUCCCGGUGGAUGCUUGCCAACAACCCCCAACUUCUUAAGGUUGACCUCGGAUCAGGUAGGGAUACCCGCUGAACUUAAGCAUAUCAUAAGCGGAGGA